UCACUCUGGCUUCUCUUCAACGUAUGAUUCUUUCGCCUUUUACUAUAGAAUUCCGUGGAGAGGAGCAGUUCAAUGAGUCUUGAUCAUUUUUCGAUAUCCGACUUUGGUCGGUUU
rnacentral:snRNA from 1 species